UGGCCCGCAUGACUUUUCACUUUUCGAAAACUUGUAAAGCACAAUUUGCAAAGCACUUUUAUGAAGGCGGGUUCUAAAAUUUGAACCAAAAGAAUGAGAAAUGAAGAACCAAAUCACAGUUUGGUAAAUGCGAUCGCUGUGGUGGAGAGUUCUCUCAAGCCUUCGAUCACAAGUCUCGUUUGCAAAAAAUAUAUUCACCAGGCAAGCUUCAAUGGUUAAGAAAAUGUGUUGUGUUGUUGUGUGUUCGAUUGUUUGCGUCAAUGAAAUCUCUUCACUGCCUUAGUAUUGCUUUGUACCUUCCGUUUAGUAGCCUAGAAAACUGAAGAAAUCGAAGGAAAAUUAUUUUCGAACCUCAUGCUUGCUUUUGUUUCUGUUUUUGAUAGCUCAAUUUCGAUCACUAGCCUCGUUUGCAAAAAUAUUCAUCAGGCAAGCAUCAUGAUUAAGAAAAUGUGUUCUCCACUGCAUUAGUAUUGCUUUAUACCUUCCGUUUGGUAGCCUAGAAGCCUGAGGAAAUCAAAGGAAAAUUGCUUUUGAAUCUCAUGGUUGCUUUUGCGUCUGUUUUUGAGAUUUGCACUACUAUUCACUAGGCAAGCUUGAUGCAUAGGAAAAUGUGGUGUGUGAGUUCGUUUGUAUUAACGAAAUUUCUUGUCUGCCUUAGUAUUGUUUUAUAGCAGUAUGGUAGCCUAGAAACUGAGGAAGCCAAAGGAAAUUUGUUUUUGAAUCUCGUGCUUGCUUUUGUUUCUGUUUUUGAUAGCUCAAUUUCAAUCAUUAGCCUCGUUUGCAAAAAAUAUUCACCAGGAAAGCUUCGCGCAUAUGUAAAUAUUCAGGUCAACAGCUAAAGCAUUUGUUACCUUGUCAUAUCAAUUUGCCUUCUUGGUUUAAUUUGUGCUAAUUGUGGGGGGAAAAAAGGAAGGAGAAAGGAAGAUUGCUUAGCUAGAAGCAAUCCAAAACUUCAGCACUGUUUCCAUAAGCUAAACUAUGACAGCAACAAUACUUUUGCAUGUGUUUCUAUUUGCAGCCAACUUAUGUAUUAUUGGGUUUUUCACAGACCAUGCUCUGAUUGGAUUUGGUGAUAUUUCAGGGCUAAUACAAACGAGCUUUUGAACAUCAACAACAUUAUGGAAACUAUGAGAAUUCGUUUGCCAAGUUGCCAACUUAUGAAUUGGAUGGAAAUGAUUAAUGACAGACAUGGGCAGUUGAAAACUGCAGAGGCCCCUGGAUGCGUAUGUCAUCCUGUUUUUCAGAAGGCAACAAUGAACUAAAGUUCAAAUUGAGGACAACAUCCUACUAAUAACAUGAGUGGACCAUUCCACGAGACAUCUGAAGGUAUUUAUAACUUCAUCUAUAUGCUAUGCUCCCUUUAUUCUCUUUGAAGUCCAACAGGGCAUCUCUCAGGGCACUAGAAAUGAAUUUAAAAGAGUAAUUUGACAAGAGGGUUCACACCACACCAUAAAGUGAGAAUUAUCUAAAAGUUAUGUACUAAAAAGUUAGCUUUAGAGUAAUCGUACGAUCUAUAUUUUUUC